CCUGGUGACCAUGGCGAAGGGGAAACACCCGUUCCCAUUCCGAACACGGAAGCUA
rnacentral:rRNA from 1 species